UAUCUCCUUCAGAGAUAGUCUCUAGAAACUUCUUGGACCCCAGCCCAAGCCUUACACUGCCUCCCCUUCCUCAUUGACUCUGCCUCGGCUCCUCCUCCUUCCUCAACGAUGCUUCUGACUCUUCAUCUCCUUCUGAUUUCCGGUGAUUUCCUAGUCUCCAGAUGCUUUUGACACUGCCUCCCCUUCCUAGUCUGCCUCGGCUCUUCCUCCUUCCUCCCCAAUUGUAGCCGGCGCCGCCAAGAUUCGAUCAGAGAUUCAGAAUUUCACGGAUGUGCCUCUAAGAGACGAUCAACGGGAAUACCUCUGCAAAGUUGCUGAAGGGGUGAACCCAGUAACCGGAAACGCUACACGAGACAUGCUGCUUUGUAAGUUGGGAGGAAGGGUUUCCCAGAGGCUGCAUUUUCAUUUCAACUAGGAGUGUGCACAGGUACCGGGUAUACCCGGAAUCAGUCGGGAUAUAAAAAUACAGGUUCCAAAGGGGUACCCCGAACCUGUGGUAUAAUACAGGUUCCGGGUAGGUUUCGGUUUCAGGAUUCAACAGGGUAGGGUCCGGUUCCAAAAUCUUGGAACCGGUCCCUUACAGGGUAGGGUCCGGGUAUCGUGAAAAAAGCAGGGUACCCGGAACUGAUCACCCCUAGUCGGGGGGCGGCGGGGGGUGGAGCAUGUUGCGGACAGUAACGUUUUAGACGGAGAAGGAGAGGAAGGGUGGGUGCUGCCGGUGGUGGGUGUGGUUGGAGACAGAGCAGAGCAAUGCAAGGGAGGCCGAUGGAGAAGCACCGUUUGAGGGAAAAGCUUCAAUCUGGUAAGAGAAAGGGGGUUGCACCGAUCAACGGUAGGAACUUUUGAAAAGUAACGCUGAGGAGAAGCCCGGUGCGAAGGCCCACAUCUAGUGCCCUUUGCUGCGAAAAUGCUUUGGUUAGUGUCCGUAAGUAAGUGUGAAAAUACUUAAAAGGAGGUCCGUAAUUUUUAUUAGAGAAAUAGACAUAUCAUAUCUGAUAUCUCAUAGUAAUAGUAAUGAUGAUGAUGUUGAUAAUAAUAAUAAUAAUAAUAAUAAUAUAGUGUUCUUUUUCUUCCUUCUAGA